CGAAUGCUAAUACCCCAUAUGCUUUUGAGUGAAAUGGAUUUUAUCCGCCUUAGAGAGAAGCUCGCGGCUGAUUAGCUUGUUGGUAAGGUAAGAGCUUACCAAGGCGACGAUCAGUAUCNGGUUUGAGAGGACGAUCAGACACACUGGAACUGAGACACGGUCCAGACUCCUACGGGAGGCAGCAGUGGGGAAUUUUCCGCAAUGGGCGAAAGCCUGACGGAGCAAUACCGCGUGAGGGAAGAAUGCCUAUGGGUUGUAAACCUCUUUUUUUCAGGGAGGAAUAAAAUGACGUGUACCUGAAGAAUAAGCAUCGGCUAACUCCGUG
rnacentral:rRNA from 1 species